rnacentral:rRNA from 1 species
UAAGGAAUAUUGGUCAAUGGACGCAAGUCUGAACCAGCCAUGCCGCGUGAAGGAUGAAGGUCCUCUGGAUUGUAAACUUCUUUUAUCUGGGACGGAAACGGGAUUUUUAUCUCAAUUGACGGUACCAGAGGAAUAAGCACCGGCUAACUCCGUGCCAGCAGCCGCGGUAAUACGGAGGGUGCGAGCGUUACCCGGAUUUACUGGGUGUAAAGGGCGUGUAGGCGGUUUCUCAAGUCCGAUGCUAAAGACCGAAGCUCAACUUCGGGAGUGCGUUGGAUACUGUGAGGCUAGACGGUCGGAGAGGGUAGCGGAAUUUCCUGAGUAGCGGUUAAAUGCGCAGAUACAGGAAGGAACGCCAAUAGCGAAAGCAGCUACCUGGACGAUUUGUGACGCUGAGGCGCGAAAGCGUGGGG